UUCUCUCUCCCCCUCUCCAGCGGUUGCAGUGGUCCAGUCCAUCUCAGUGUUUGACCAGAGCAGACUGUUCAGUAUCCCUCUACCUGAGGCCCUGGGCUCAUCUGUCAGCUUCUCCUGUGUCCUCUAUAUCUAUCUACCUCUCAUGGUCAUCGGGCUUCUCAUCAAUUCCCGCCACCUGUACAAACAGAGAAGGAAGAGGUUCCGGACCAAGAAGAAGAAAUCUAACUGACCUCCAUCUUUUCUCAAAAUACACCUCUGCUGCCUGUCUGGUGACAUCUCAUCUAGGGUGGCGAAAUUCCAUUCAACAUUUCCAGAAAUCCCAGUUAGAAAAACAUUGGAAUUUUGCAACCCUCGUCUUGUAUUUUCUGUUGUAGUUGAUAAUAGCAGUAUGAUGUUUUCCUGCUGACAAAACGUCCUCGGGGUAAAUCGCAUAAGAUUUAUGUUUUGUCAUGUCAAUUAAUAUGCUGAAUAAAAACAUUAGCAGUUCCA